AGCGAACGCUGGCGGCAGGCUUAACACAUGCAAGUCGAGCGGGCACUUCGGUGUCAGCGGCAGACGGGUGAGUAACACGUGGGAACGUACCCUUUGGUUCGGAAUAACGCUGGGAAACUAGCGCUAAUACCGGAUACGCCCUUUUGGGGAAAGGCUUGCUGCCGAAGGAUCGGCCCGCGUCUGAUUAGCUAGUUGGUGGGGUAAUGGCCUACCAAGGCGACGAUCAGUAGCUGGUCUGAGAGGAUGAUCAGCCACACUGGGACUGAGACACGGCCCAGACUCCUACGGGAGGCAGCAGUGGGGAAUAUUGGACAAUGGGCGCAAGCCUGAUCCAGCCAUGCCGGGUGAGUGAUGAGGGCCUUAGGGUUGUAAAGCUCUUUUGUCCGGGACGAUAAUGACGGUACCGGAAGAAUAAGCCCCGGCUAACUUCGUG
rnacentral:rRNA from 1 species